AAGUCUCGAUAUGAACGAAUUGAGAGUGGCCAUGCAGCCUGUGAGUUUCUGCACAUCCUUGAUGCCAGCUGGUGCUUGCAUGUUUGUGAUGGCAGAUAUUUUUUUUGGGUUGGCCUCAAUGCUGCGAUGGCUAAUGAUGAACCCAAGUAACUUGCCAGAAGGUACUCCGAAGAUGCACUUAGUAGGAUUGAGUUUCCAUCGGAAAGCUCGUAGACUAGAGAAAGUUUCCUCCAGAUCAGCGAUG
rnacentral:lncRNA from 1 species